GCUUUGGAGACAGCUGACUUUGGUUUUUAUAUUUGUUUUAAAUUUACUAAUGACCACAGUUGAUUGACGUUUUAAUUUUUUUUUUUUUUUGUCUCCUUUUAGGGUUUUGUUUUUGCACUGAAUGUAGCCAGGACGGAUCCUUGUGGGCUUUGGCAGCCCUUGGAAACUGUCAAAGGCAGUAUUUUGCAUUUCUGCAGAGCUUUGCACAGAUCCUGUUCCCAUGCAAACUGAUGAGGGAGAAAUACUGGAGGAAGGCAGUCCCAAGAUGGAACAUGAGGAUUUUGUAAUGGAGGGGCAUGGCAAGACUCCACCUCCUGGUGAAGAAAACAAACAGUGAGUCACACGUUUAUUUAAAAAGGGCCUUACCGUAGUAAAUGGUGUGAAGCACUCUCGUUUAAGCG
ensembl:lncRNA